ensembl:lncRNA
CACACACACACACACACACAAUAUUAGGCUGAGGGUUAGGGUUAGUGGUUAGAGUCAGGGUCAAGGUAAGGGUUAGGGUUAGGUUGGGGUUAGGGUACAGUCUGAGGCUGUAGCAGUAGGUUUAGUUUAGGGUUAGGUUAGGGUGAGGGUUAGGGUACAAUCUGAGGCUGUAGCAGUAGGUUUAGUUUAGGGUUAGGUUAGGGUGAGGGUUAGGGUACAGUCUGAGGCUGUAGCAGUAGGUUUAGUUGGGGGUGAGGGUUAGGGUACAAUCUGAGGCUGUAGCAGUAGGUUUAGUUUAGGGUGAGGGUUAGGGUACAAUCUGAGGCUGUAGCAGUAGGUUUAGUUUAGGUUUAGUUUAGGGUGAGGGUUAGGGUACAAUCUGAGGCUGUAGCAGUAGGUUUAGUUUAGGGUCGGGUGAGGGUUAGGGUACAAUCUGAGGCUGUAGCAGUAGGUUUAGUUUAGGGUUAGGGUUAGGGUGAGGGUUAGGGUACAAUCUGAGGCUGUAGCAGUAGGUUUAGUUUUCAGUUCAUCACCAAUUGUAGGGGAGAUAUUAUGGGCUGGUAUUCCCAGUUAUCUUCAAAUGUUUUGAAGUAAUCACUCUACAGUAUCCAUGUUCACUUCCUUCAAAUAUUAACACUACGAACAAAGUUCAAGACAUCCUGAUAAGAGCGGCCCGCUGUUCUAACAAGACGUUCCUCAUCGUGUGAACCC